UCAAGCGAAGAAGAGCGCAGGGUGGAUGCCUUGGCACUAAGAGCCGAUGAAAGACGUGAUAAGCUGCGAAAAGUCACGGGGAGGAGCAAAUAUCCUUUGAUCCGUGAAUGUCUGAAUGGGGAAACCCACAUGAGAAUACCUCAUGUAUCCAUACGCCAAUCCAUAACGUAUGGAAGGGAACCCGGUGAACUGAAACAUCUAAGUAGCCGGAGGAAGAGAAAGAAAAAUCGAUUUCCAAAGUAGCGGCGAGCGAAAUGGAAAGAGCCCAAACCGGAGUGCGUGCAUUCCGGGGUUCGGACCGCAUAAUUGAUUCAGCAAUUCCAGCAGAACUGUUUUGGGAAAGCAGACCAGAGAGGGUGAAAGUCCCGUAAGCGAAAGAAGAGCUGACAUGGCGGUAUCCAGAGUACAUCGAGACACGAGAAACCUUGAUGGAAUAAGCGGGGACCACCCCGUAAGGCUAAAUACUACUUAGUGACCGAUAGCGCAUAGUACUGUGAAGGAAAGGUGAAAAGGACCCCGGGAGGGGAGUGAAAGAGAACCUGAAACCCUGUGUUUACAAGCUGUGGAAGCACUUUAUAUGUGCGACCGCGUACUUUUUGUAGAACGGUCCGGCGAGUUACGCUUACUGGCGAGGUUAAGGACUUAAGGUCCGGAGCCGAAGGGAAACCAAGUCUUAACAGGGCGGUUAUAGUCAGUAGGAGUAGACCCGAAACCGGGUGAUCUAUCCAUGUCCAGGUUGAAGAUGCCGUAAAAGGCGUUGGAGGACCGAACCCACAUCCGUUGAAAAGGGUGGGGAUGAGGUGUGGAUAGGGGAGAAAUUCCAAUCGAACCCGGAGAUAGCUGGUUCUCCUCGAAAUAGCUUUAGGGCUAGCCUCGUUUUAGUCUUGUGGAGGUAGAGCACUGAAUUUCCGCGGGGGCGUCAAAGCUUACCAAAGAAUAUCAAACUCCGAAUGCCAUUAAGAUGAUGAACGGGAGUCAGACUGUACGAGAUAAGUUGGACAGUCAAAAGGGAAAGAGCCCAGACCACCAGCUAAGGUCCCAAAGUGUGUGUUAAGUGGAAAAGGAUGUGGGGAUUCAAAGACAACUAGGAUGUUGGCUCAGAAGCAGCCAUUCAUUCAAAGAGUGCGUAACAGCUCACUAGUCGAGAGUCCCUGCGCCGAAAAUGUCCGGGGCUGAAACACAACACCGAAGCUGUGGAAUCAUACCUAGUAUGAUUGGUAGAGGAGCAUUCUUAAGACCGACGAAGCUGUACCGAUAAGGAGCAGUGGAGGGAUAAGAAGAGAGAAUGCCGGAAUGAGUAGCGAGAGGAAGGUGAGAAUCCUUCCGGCCGAAUAUCCAAGGAUUCCAGGGUAAAGCUGAUCUGCCCUGGGUAAGUCGGGACCUAAGGAGAGGCCGAGAGGCGUAUCCGAUGGACAACAGGUUUAGAUUCCUGUACCACAUAUGGUCAGAACUGUGGGGACGCAGAAGGAAAGCAUGAGCCAGGAAUGGAAAGACUGGUACAAGCAGAGGGGAUGGUGUGCUGGCAAAUCCGCACACGAAAGUCCUUGCUGUGAUGUGGAGCGAACCAAAGUAGCGAAGCAUGCGGACCGGCUGCCGAGAAAAGCCGCUAUUGUGCCAUAUGUGCCCGUACCGUAAACCGACACAGGUGGAUGAGGAGAGAAUCCUAAGGCCGACGGAAGAAGCAUUGUUAAGGAACUCGGCAAAAUGACCCCGUAACUUCGGGAGAAGGGGUGCCUGCGAGAGCAGGCCGCAGAGAAUAGGCUCAAGCAACUGUUUAGCAAAAACACAGGUCUAUGCAAAACCGAAAGGUGAAGUAUAUGGGCUGACGCCUGCCCGGUGCUGGAAGGUUAAGAGGAGAGGUUAGCGCAAGCGAAGCUUUGAAUUUAAGCCCCAGUAAACGGCGGCCGUAACUAUAACGGUCCUAAGGUAGCGAAAUUCCUUGUCGGGUAAGUUCCGACCCGCACGAAAGGCGUAAUGAUUUGAGCACUGUCUCGACAAUGCAUCCGGUGAAAUUGAAGUACCAGUGAAGAUGCUGGUUACCCGCGCCAGGACGGAAAGACCCCAUGGAGCUUUACUCCAGUUUGGUACUGGGAUUCGGUACUGCAUGUACAGGAUAGGUGGGAGACGAAGAAGUUAGGACGCCAGUCUUAACAGAGUCGCUGUUGGGAUACCACCCUUGCAGUAUUGGGUUUCUAACCAGCCGCUGUGAACCAGCGGUGGGACAAUGCCAGGCGGGGAGUUUGACUGGGGCGGUCGCCUCCGAAAGGGUAUCGGAGGCGCUCAAAGGU
rnacentral:rRNA from 1 species